ACACCAUCCUAUUUUAUAGGUAUAUGUUUAGAAAAUUAAUUAGGAUUAAAGAAGCAUUGUUAAAUUAAUUUAGUGGAAAGUGAUUGAGGAGGAUUGGAUUUUUCCUACAAAACUAAUUUGUUUGCUAACUUGGACCAAUUCAACUUAUUUUUCAACCAAUAAAUUAGCAGGGGAUGGCUUUUAACAGUUUUGAAUCUAAACCCAAUUAGACACCACAAUUAACCUAAAUUUACACUAAACACCCCUAACACUUGAUCGCCUUCUCCUUCAUCAUCAAAAACACCCAGAGAAACUCCAACAAACCUCUGUCAUCGCCCCAUCCACUCGGGAGAAAUUCGCCUGAUUUUGAGUUCAAAUAGCUUAUCUCGGCGUGAUUUCAAGGUUGAAAAAGUCCCUUCAUCUCCACCGUUAGCCUGGGAGAAAUAAAAAACUGUAGACCUACAAAUUAGGUUCGUACCACCAAAUUUGUCUUUGCCAUUCAAAUUUUAUGCAUCUUUCCAAUCAAUCUAAAAAAUAGGAUAACCCUUAUCUCCUUUGUCAACUUUCUCCAUUUUUAAUCUUUUCUCCUUGACCCAUCUUUUUAAUGUUUCAAAUUUGGAAUCUGUUGGAAGCUUCUUAAAGGAGCUGUUACAACAAACUCAACCUAUAAAGUGAGGGUUACAUUCGCCUGUUGAGGCAGAGGUUAAGUGGUAGAGAAUUUGAGAGGUUUUUGAAGUGUUAAUUUCCUAUUGCUUAACCAAAAAAGUAUCAUAGUUCCUAUUCCUUAAUUAAUCUCAAAUCAGAAGAAAAUCAAAAAAAGAAAUUUAUUCAAAGAGGAGUCGUGUGUGUGAAAACUCAUUCCGAAUAACUUCUCGUCUUAGUCCGCUGCUCUAAAAAGGAACCUAGGCCGAUGAUCGGGACUUUUUUGAGCUCAAGGAGAAACUUUCAAUGAACUAGUUCGGCUUCUCCUAGGUGAUCCAAGAGCCAAGAGCCAAAAUCCUUCUACCACCGUUUUACAUACACAAGUUUCGUCUUUGACAUAUUGAAAUUGCUUUGAAAUUUUCCCCAGAUUCAGAAUUAUUGGGCAUAUAUAUAUAGAGAGAGAGAGAGAUUGAUGAUUGACAAAGCAUUGGAACAUGUACAUGAAAUAGGUUGAUCAAUACUUUUCUGCAUCCAGCGUCUAACUUGUAUAAGGACUUUUUGAAAUAAAGAAAGUCUCAAGAAGAAAAGACCAUGAAGUCUGCACUAGGGCUGGCAACGAACUGGAACCGGAAUGCCGGACCGGUUUAACCGAUGUUGAAACCGGUAUCGGAACUUCCUUAUCGUUUUUGCUGCUAGAAUCGGUCUUACCAAAAUUUUUUCAUUGUUCGGACCGGUCCGCUUGCUACCGGUGUAGACCGGAGCGACACCGGAAUUACCGGAAGAGAUGACAUAGUGUACAGUAAUACAGUUUUUGUUUUACAAUUUUAAUUUAAAUUAUCUAUAUCUUAA